UGGCGAACGGGUGAGUAAUAUAUCGGAACGUGCCCAGUAGUGGGGGAUAGCCCGGCGAAAGCCGGAUUAAUACCGCAUGAGACCUGAGGGUGAAAGCGGGGGAUCGCAAGACCUCGCGCUAUUGGAGCGGCCGAUAUCAGAUUAGCUAGUUGGUGGGGUAAAGGCCUACCAAGGCAACGAUCUGUAGUUGGUCUGAGAGGACGACCAGCCACACUGGGACUGAGACACGGCCCAGACUCCUACGGGAGGCAGCAGUGGGGAAUUUUGGACAAUGGGCGCAAGCCUGAUCCAGCAAUGCCGCGUGCAGGAAGAAGGCCUUCGGGUUGUAAACUGCUUUUGUCAGGGAAGAAAUCCUCUGGGUUAAUACCUCGGGGGGAUGACGGUACCUGAAGAAUAAGCACCGGCUAGCUACGUGCCAGCAGCCGCGGUAAUACGUAGGGUGCGAGCGUUAAUCGGAAUUACUGGGCGUAAAGCGUGCGCAGGCGGCUUUGCAAGACAGAUGUGAAAUCCCCGGGCUCAACCUGGGAACUGCAUUUGUGAC
rnacentral:rRNA from 1 species